UUGUCCACUCUUUUGAGAGGAGACAGUUAUGAAACGUGAGUAGAAGGGUCGAGUGUAAAAACCUUGACGUGAAGCAAUUGGAGGGCAAGUUUUGGUGCCAGCAGCCGCGGUAAUUCCAACUCCAAGAGUGUCUAUGGUGGAUGCUGCAGUUAAAGGGUCCGUAGUCGUAGAUGCAAUUAAAAGGUGGUGUUAAAAGCCAUUGAGUUUGUUGAGAGUAGCGGAACGGAUAGGGAGCAUGGUAUAGGUGGGCAAAGAAUGAAAUCUCAAGACCCCACCUGGACCAACGGAGGCGAAAGCGAUGCUCUUAGACGUAUCUGGGGAUCAAGGACGAAGGCUAGAGUAUCGAAAGUGAUUAGACACCGCUGUAGUUCUAGCAGUAAACUAUGCCGACAAUGCUGGGUGUUGCGAGAGCGAUGC
rnacentral:rRNA from 1 species